UACAGAGGUCUCAAGCGUUGUUCGGAUUCAUUGGGCGUAACGGGUGUGUAGGUGGCGCUGUAAGUCGGGUGUGAAAUCUCGGAGCUCAACUCCGAAAUUGCACCGGAUACUGCGUGACUCGAGGACUGUAGAGGAGAUCGGAAUUCACGGUGUAGCAGUGAAAUGCGUAGAUAUCGUGAGGAAGACCAGUUGCGAAGGCGGUUCUCUGGGCCUUACCUGACGCUGAGGAGCGAAAGCGUGGGGAGCGAACAGG
rnacentral:rRNA from 1 species